rnacentral:rRNA from 1 species
UACGAAGGGUGCAAGCGUUACUCGGAAUUACGUGGGACGUAAGCGUGCGUAGGUGGUUUGUUAAGUCUGAUGAUGAAAGCCCGUGGGCCUCAACCCUGGGAAUUGCAUUGGAUACUGGCAGGCUAGAGUGCGGUAGAGGGUAGUGGAAUUCCCGGUGUAGCAGUGAAAUGCGUAGAGAUCGGGAGGAACAUCUGUGGCGAAGGCGACUACCUGGACCAGCACUGACACUGAGGCACGAAAGCGAUGGGGAGCCAAACAGGG